GUGAAUAUAAUUAUAAGUAGACUCUGCCCAAUGAAUUUUUAAUGGCUGCAGUAUAUUGACUGUACAAAGGUAGCAUAAUCAAUUGUUCUUUAAAUGAGAUCUUGGAUGAAAGAGGUGAUGAAUUAAAAACUUUAUUUAAAAUAUAAAUUGAAUUUAAUUUUAAAGUAAAAAUUCUUUAAUAAAUUUAUGGGACGAGAAGACCCUAUAGAAUUUUAUUAUUUAUUUAUAAUUAAAAUUAUAAAAAUUUAUAAAUAAAUAAUUUAUUUGGGAGGAAUAAUAAAUUUAAAAACUUUGUUAAUUUAUAAACAAAAAUAAUUGAUUUAUUUGAUUUUAAAUAUAAAUUUUAGAGUAAAUUACCUUAGGGAUAACAGCAUAAUAUUUUUGGAAAGAUCAUAUUUAUAAAAAUGUUU
rnacentral:rRNA from 1 species